GGUAGGAUGGCUGAGUAUAGCGGUGGAUUGUAGCCCCACAUACAGGGGUUUAAGCCCCCUUCUUACCA
rnacentral:tRNA from 1 species